UACGGGGGGGGCAAGCGUUGUUCGGAAUUACUGGGCGUAAAGGGCUUGUAGGCGGCCAACUAAGUCCGACGUGAAAUCCCCAGGCUUAACCUGGGAACUGCGUCGGAUACUGGAUGGCUUGAAUUCGGGAGAGGGAUGCAGAAUUCCAGGUGUAGCGGUGAAAUGCGUAGAUAUCUGGAGGAAUACCGGUGGCGAAGGCGGCAUCCUGGACCGAUAUUGACGCUGAGGAGCGAAAGCUAGGGGAGCAAACGGG
rnacentral:rRNA from 1 species